UUUACAUCUUUGACUAAUUCUGAACCACAUUCUAAUUCAAAACGAGUAGCAGUCGUUUGAUCCAAUCGAUCCAUUAACAUAUUAAAUAAAAUAAAAUCCCAGAACUUAAUUAACCUACCUUAACCUAAAUUUUCCAAAACUGAGAUAUUUUCCAAAAAAGUCACUCCACUAAUAUUCGUAAAGGAGCAGAGGUAUCUAGCUGAGAAAUUCGAACAGUUGAUUGAAUAGAGAGCCAGCUAUUCUUAGUUGUGUUUGUCUGGCACGGCAACACCGUUACUCUAUAAUUGUACUAGAAAUUGUACAAUUACAACUCAACUGAACAACCACAAUAAUACAGUCCGUACAGUAAAAUAGGCCCAGGAGCCUAGCAGAAACACCUGCAUACCAUAUUUAUCUGGGCAAUCCGGUUAACAAUGGAAAAAAAUUUUAGCACGAUACACAUUUUAACCGGCCAUCAAGUUUCUUUUGUGAAUAUUAAAGAGCACAAAUGCACAAUUUGCUUAUCAACACGUCCACUAAAACUGCCGACUUUCAAAUUUCCAAUGAUGUAAUACUCAGACAUUAAAACUUACUGUGAGCGCAGGAAAAGCACAAAAUAUGGAGAGCAAAAUAUACGUGUUCAAAUAAGAAAUAAGGUAACUAAGGUACCUAUAGUAAUAUUGUUUAUAUUGUAGGCCCAGGUGACCAGCAUUUCCAAUUAAAUAACUGUAUAUAAUAAAAUAAUAUACAAUUAAGAGUAA